GAGAGUAGGCGUAGGCGGUUACAGAUCGGUAGAAAUUACCGGUUUGAGGAAAGUCCGGGCUUCCGAAAGACCAGACUUGCUGGGUAACGCCCAGUGCGAGCGAUCGUGAGGAUAGUGCCACAGAAAAAUACCGCCUUAUUUCAGUUAUCAGUCAAUAGUUAUCAGUGAACCGUGAUGAGCUGAUAACUAGGAGUUGAUAACUAAAUCAGGUAAGGGUGCAAAGGUGCGGUAAGAGCGCACCAGCAACGUCGAGAGGCGUUGGCUCGGUAAACCCCGGUUGGAAGCAAGGUAAAAGGAGUUACGGUUGGUCUUUUCCCUACUCCGUUAAACUAGAGCCGCUAGAGGUGUUUGGUAACAAACAUCCCAGAUAGAUAACCGCCCUCAUGAGUUAAUAGACUGAUGAGAACAGAACCCGGCUUACUACCAACUCUCUCCU
rnacentral:RNase_P_RNA from 1 species